rnacentral:tRNA from 1 species
UCCGCGGUAGCUCAGCGGUAGAGCAACCGGCUGUUAACCGGUAGGUCGCAGGUUCGAAUCCCGCCCGCGGAGCCA